GAUGAACGCUGGCGGCGUGCCUAAUACAUGCAAGUCGAGCGAACAGACGAGGAGCUUGCUCCUCUGACGUUAGCGGCGGACGGGUGAGUAACACGUGGAUAACCUACCUAUAAGACUGGGAUAACUUCGGGAAACCGGAGCUAAUACCGGAUAAUAUAUUGAACCGCAUGGUUCAAUAGUGAAAGACGGUUUUGCUGUCACUUAUAGAUGGAUCCGCGCCGCAUUAGCUAGUUGGUAAGGUAACGGCUUACCAAGGCAACGAUGCGUAGCCGACCUGAGAGGGUGAUCGGCCACACAGGAACUGAGACACGGUCCAGACUCCUAAGGGAGGCAGCAGUAGGGAAUCUUCCGCAAUGGGCGAAAGCCUGACGGAGCAACGCCGCGUGAGUGAUGAAGGUCUUCGGCUCGUAAAACUCUGUUAUUAGGGAAGAACAAAUGUGUAAGUAACUAUGCACGUCUUGACGGUACCUAAUCAGAAAGCCACGGCUAACUACGUG
rnacentral:rRNA from 1 species